GAAAACUUUUAAUUUUCAAAUAAUUUCAAACUCAUAGAAAAGUUGCAAUAAUAAUAAUAAUAAUAUAACCCUUUACUCAGAUUUACUAAUUAACCUUUUGACCCUCUUGCUUUAACAUUUACAUGCUUAGUUGCUCAGUUGUGUCUGGCUCUUUGGCCUAUAACCUUCCAGGCUCCUCUGUCUAUAGGAUUUUUCAGGCAAGAAUACUGAAGUGGAUUGCCAUUUCCUCCACCAGGGGAUCUUUCUGACCCAGGGAUCAAACCCACAUCUGUUGCAGAAUAAUUAUAUUGUGUGCUUCUCAGAAUAUCACACCCAAAGUUAGAUGAUGUCCCUGUUCCUCACUGGAUUCUACAUAUAAUGAUAGAGGCUGAAACUCCAAUACUUUGGCCACCUCAUGCGAAGAGCUGACUCAUUGGAAAAGACCCUGAUGCUGGGAGGGAUUGGGGGCAGGAGGAGAAGGGGACGACAGAGGAUGAGAUGGCUGGAUGGCAUCACCGACUCAAUGGACGUGAGUCUGAGUGAACUCCGGGAGUUGGUGAGGGACAGGGAGGCCUGGCGUGCUGCGAUUCAUGGGGUCGCAAAGAGUUGGACACGACUGAGCGACUGAACUGAACUGAACUGACUGAAGGGCGUAGUUAUGGACUCCAGUAUUUUUGCCUGGAGAAUUCCAUGGACAGAGGAGACUGGUGGGCUACAGUCCAUAGGGUCACACAGAGUUGGACACAACUAAGAGACUAACACUGUCACACUUAUCUAAACUCCAUCCCCUAGAUUCGUUCUUCCCUAUUAAUAGAAUCCCAGUUUCAUUCAGGUAGAAGGAAGAUCCUUUGAUUUCAAGGAAGCUAAGUUCCUCUCCGUUAAGUGAAAAAAUGAAAGUGUUAGCCACUCAGUCAUGUCCGACUGUUUGCGACCCCGUAGACUGUAGCCUGCCAGGCUCCUCUGUUCUUGGAAUUCUCCAGGCAAGAAUACUGGGGUAGGCAGCCAUUCCUUUCCCCAGGGGAUCUUCCCGACUGAGGGAUUGAACUUGGGUCUCCUGCAUUUCAGGCAGAUUCUUUAUCAUCUGAGCCACCAAGAAGCCCUUUCCCACCCCCAAAUCAGGGGCUAAAUCACAAUACGUCUAAAUCAAUCUGGUGAUACCAUUUCUCCUUGCCAAUGAUUGGUCUAGGAGUGGGUACAAGACACAGUUCUGGUUAAUGAAACAUGAAAGGAAGUCUUCUGGGAGGCUCUUAGGAAAUUGUUUAUUUUUGCAUAAAGAGAAAAUUUUCUUUUGCUCCUUUCUCUGUCUUUUGGCUAAGACAAAAGGAUGAAUACCCAAGGUCUGGAGCUACCAUGGCUGUCUUGUGCUCAAAUGGGGCAUCAGUCUUUGUUUUUAGUAACUAUCUUAAGUACAUUUUUCAUGUAAAAUGUGAACAGAGGAAUAAAUAUGCCAUUAUGUUAUCAUAUAUAAGGGAUAUUAGCUCAAGUAUGACAGGUACACUCUUGGGAAGAAGUGGUUAUCAUCCGUACAAGGCCGCAGAGAAGAGCAUGAUAUACAAAAUUGAAAAUGGAAUCACCCAUGCACAUUUGGAAGCUGCCCAGGAUAAUCAGGUCAUUUUGAGGAUUGGGUUCCAGCAGAAGUGAUGGCUUUGGCCGAACAUGAGCUUGGGUGAAGACUAUGCCUGUGGGGUUAAAGAGAAAGAGUCAAGGACUUCCCUGGUGGCACAGCAGAUAGGAAUUCACCUGCCGAUGCAGGGGAAAUUGGUUCGAUCCCUGGUUCGGAAAAAUCCUGUAGGCAACUAAAGCCUGUGCACCACAACUGCUGAAGCCUGUGUGCCUAGAGCCUGUGCUCUCCAACAAGAGAAGCCACCACAGUGAGAAGCCUGUGUACUGCAGCCAAGAACGGGAAAGUGACUCCAGAGCGAGGUGGCGGUGCACAACACUGUGAAUGCAUUAAAUGCCACUGAAUUGUACACUUAAAAAUAGUUGUUUGUUAUGCGAAUUUCACCUCAGUUUUUUUUUUUAAAAGGAGGAUGAAAGUUUGCAGGAUUUAGAAAUAAUGGGUAAAAGACUUCACCCCUAAUUUUUCUGAUUUUCAAGAGUCAACCCAGAGACUCUUCUGGGAGAAGAGCAAAUGCCUUAACCACUUACACAACAAUUAUGAGGGAAGGAGGGUUUGAGGUUUCAUUUCUGUUUCCUCCCUUAUCCACACAUAACCAUCGUCCUGUCUCUCAUUUUCUUCAUAUACUAGAUCUUUAUUCAGCAAAACCAAGGGAUAGUGCUUUUCUCUCCUUUUACCUGGAUCAGCAUCAUUCCUCAUUAUCAUGCCUCCAUCAUUUCCUAGCUUUUCACCUUUUCUUUGACCAACUGUUACAUGCAUGAGCUUUUAUCACUUUCAUUCCAUAUGUCAUUCCCUAUCAUCAGUUCUAAGCAAAAGCCAAAACAAAUGCUGGAAGAAUGCACACAAAGACCCACAAGGGAGAGGGCAAUAAAUCAGGACAGGACCUCAAAUUUUAAUAACUGAUUAUUACUUAUGCUGUGUCAUUUUGCAGUUCCUACAAACUCUGAAAUCAAAAAGACCUUAAUGAAAUAUCCCUUGCCUAACACAAUUCCUGAUAUGUGGUCGGUAAUAAUAGCUAUUUUGCUGAGUAAAUUACUGAGUGUUUAUUCAUAGUACUCAAAGCAUCAGAAUUCAGUAAACUAUAGAAUAGAGUUUAAGAAAUUUCAAAAUAGCAGUCUUUACCUUUUUGGCCAUGCAUUUAACUGAUUUUUUUUCUAUUAUUGCUUUUGGAAACUCAUUUGUAUAAAAUCUGUAAGUUGUCAUCAAGUGAUUAGCAAGUGGUUCUCUCUGGUGGGGGUAGGGGAGCUGCCCUAUCAAAACAAACCAUAGAGGGUAAAUUUUCUGAUGCGAAAUAGGGCUUCUGCCUGAUCAACCUCAGUGCUCCGAGAAUGUCCAGUAUAAACAAAAAGCAUGGGCUUUGGAGCUUAAUGUCACUAGGAAUCCUAACUCUUCUGGUUACGAGGGUAUGAUAGUGGGUCUGCUCAUGAGCCUCACUUAUCUCAUCCUUAAAAUGGAGAUGGUAAUAAUACCUUUUCUGUACCUCCCUCAUUCUGUCCAUUGGAAAAUUUCUUCAAUGUUACUUUCAAAAAAUAUCCUGAAAUCCACUACCAUUCAUCUCCACUGAUAACUGUCUACAAAAUCAGAAAGUCUCUGACAAGUAGAAUAUAGAAUAAUAACAAAUAUGGAUUUGUCAGUCCUAUCUUGAUUUAAAAGUGCAGGUUUUAAUUAUGUAUGUACUGACUAAGAGCCUUGCAGCAAGAGACUGCUCUUUCGUGAACCAAAAUUGCCUGCUCAUUCAGGUGCUUUUCCGUAAGGACAUAAAGUAUCACUACUUGGUGAAUUAAACAGAAAGGAUUAAAUCAAACUAAAUAUGGUAAUGCUGUGUCUUCUACUGUAUCUUAUAGAUCUCUCCUAGAGGAUGCAGCUAUUCAAAGGUCAGGACUAAUGUUAUUUGCUAUAAAAUGUCAUAAUUAAAUAAUUAAAAAAUAAGUAUUCUCUGAUAAAUUCAUUUUUGUUUACUGAAAAGUCCUAGUCUCUCAGGAAGUGUAACCUCUAACCCCAAGGCUUGUGUUGACUCCAAAGCAAGUAAAACAUGUUUUUUCCUCUUAAGUACA
ensembl:lncRNA